CACAUCUGUAGUCUGGAAUUCAAGCACUCUUUGGACACCAAAUCGCUCGGUUCGCGACUCUCUGCGCUCCUUUCUUCUUUUUUUUUUUACAAUACGACUAUACGACUAUUUCGCUUCCCUACGAUUCGUGGCGCGCGUGACCAGAAGCAACAAAAUACGGCCUAAGUGCGGUGACAGGCGACAAUAAAUAUUGAUGUGACAUACAAAAGCGAAAGCUGCCAAAAAAUAGAAAAAAACACACAUUUGAAAAGCAGCUAGGGACGCAAGCGGCCAACAGGAGACAGCCAGGCGCUACACGGAGAAAGAAAUCGAGAGAGAGAGUGUGAGAGAGCGACAGGACCUUCGCUCCCAGAGAGAGAGAGAGAGAGUGACAGGCGAUCAACAAACGGGAUACAGGGUGUCAUGUGGAGUCCAACGCACUGCAAUGUAACGGUGCUGCGGGCGCGGGGGUUGCAGACCAAGGGCAAGAAUGGCACCAACAACUGCUUCGUCACCAUCGCCCUGGGCAAGGAGAAGUACCAGACCUCGGUCAAGGACAAGUCCGAGCCGAGUGUCAACUGGAACGAGGAGUGCGAGCUAAAAAUCCCUGAUCAGGGCAAUCGCGCCGAACUCACUCUGACCUGCCUGCACAGGAACAACCUGAGCCUGGACGAGUUCCUCGGUCAGGUGACUCUGCCCCUCAACGAGAUGGACGUCUAUGACCGGCCCAGGGCCAAGUGGUUCAAGCUGGAGAGCAAGCCCGGCAAGGAGAAGAAGAACAAGGAGCGUGGUGAACUGGAGGUGCGCAUCGCCUUUGUGGUCAAGUCCGGCUCGCUGACCGAUCUCAGCAAGAAGGACAAGCACAAGUCUUCCAUCGGCCAGCUGGCCAGUUCCGUCGGCGGCAGUCUGCUGUCCAUCGGCAAUGGAGAGAAGCGGCGUAGCAUCAAGAAGCUGGCCGGAUCGCUAAGCUCCAAACUGCACAUCCGCAGCAAGAAGAAACAGGAGGCGGGCGGCGAUGAUAGCAGUUCGUUUGGCGGCUCCUUUGCCAGCCUGGGCACGCCCAACAGCUCGACGGGAAGGGGCCAGAACGGCGGCAGUGGCCGGCGACGUGGCGGCCAGAGGGCGGGCGAAGCAGAUCCUGGGGUGAUUAGCGAGGAUGAGGAUGAGUUUGUGUUCGACAAUCUAUCGCACAAGAGCUCUGGCAGUUCGCUGAACAUCCAGCGGUCGGGACUGCAGCCUCCGGCGGCCGGUACGCCCAACUUCGCCCCACGGCAUCCGUCGCCCUUGCUGAACAACAACAACGGAGUGAGCAGCGCGGCGGCCAAAGGUAAGCCAGCGGGUAGGCCAGCAACCCUCGAUGAGGACGAUGUGCCCAUCGACGCGGAGAUGGAACAGCUUGAGCUCGAUUUCAGUGUCCGUGCCCAUGCUCGUGCGAAUUCCAGCGCAGUCGGAGGAGGAGGAGGUGGAGCUGGUAUUGGAGGUGGACUUGCCAGUACUCUCCCACCAUCAAAGCCACCGCGUAUUCCGGAACAGCUGGAGAGGGAGCGGGAGCGUGAAAGGGAGAAGGAACGUGAACAGGAUCGGGAACGGGAACGGGAACAGAAGCUGGAGAUGGAGCGGAAGAAGCAGCAGGAGUUGGACGCCACCACGGACGAGUGGGCCUCCAAGCUGUAUGGCGGUGGAAAGUUCCUGGAGAUUGGAACUAGUGAUUCCCUGAAACGACGCAGCUGGGAGGCUCGUGUCCCGAUCCCCGCCAGCACCGACGAACCGCCGCCAGUGCCCACGUCCAGUUCGUCGUCUAGUUCGAGCUCGGAAAGUGACGAAGAGGAGCCGGAGGUGGUAGCGAAGCCACCAUCACCCAAGGCAGCAGCACCACCACCACCAUCCCAACCUGAAACCCAGAUUCCUUCAGUUAGCACUCCAGUGGUGGUGCCAGUUCCAGUGGUGUCCACCCCGAAAGUGCCCACUCCUGUGGUGUCUUCGCCUGUGGUGUCCUCUCCGGUGGUGCCUUCCCUGGGAGUGCCCGCUCCACUGGCCUCCUCUUCGUCCCUUUUCUCGCCCGAGGUAGAGCACCGCAACUUCGACACCUUCAACGCCAGCUUCGCCAAGUUCGAGCAGCGCAACAGCACUGCCAUCUUCGCGGACGAGCCGGAGCUGGAGGACCUGGAGCCAGAGCCAGAACGGAUAGCCCCCACGCCCACAGCACGCCCCAAGCCCCAGCCCAGGGUGCUGAUCGAUCCCCGGGCGGAGGAGGAGAAGGCCCGUCAGCAGCGGGCCGAGGAGGAUGCCCGCCUGGAGGCGGAGCUCCGGCUGAACGAGGAGCGUCUGCGCGAAGAGGAGGCUGCCCUGCAGCGUGAACUGGAGGAGGAGGAGGCGGAACGGGAGCGGGAACGCGAGCAGGAGCUGGAACGUCAGAAGCUGGAGGAGCAGCGACGUCGGGAGGCCAAGCGGUGGGAGGAGGAUCAGCGCCUGCUGAGCUUCGCCAAGCGAUCCACAUCGCUGGAGGAACCGCCGGUGCCGGUGCCGGUGCCGGUGGUGGGCACCAAAAUCAUAGUGCCCGUGGACCCGGAGGCCGAGGUGGAUAUAGAGCUAGACCAGGAGCCGGAACACAAUUUCCUAACGCCCGAGCAAUCGCCCAAGGAGUUCCAGACGAACGGCGGCGAGAAGCGGCUGGGCAAGUUCAAGUACGGGAACAAGCGAGAUAAAUAUAAUAAUGAGAAUGAUAGCAACUCGCCCAGUCCCAAGGCCACGGAAAGGAUCAUAAUUGGCCACGAGAAGUCACAAUCGCAUGCAGACCGUCGAUCGGAGAUCUCUGCCCAGUUGGCCAAAAAAUACGAAGGCAAAUCCCGGGAGGAACUAAUGCUAAUUGCCAAUGGAAUGGAGAAUGAGGCUUUGCUGCAACGGCAGCGGGUUAAGGAACUGGAGGACUAUCUGGAUAACCUGCUGCUCCGGGUGAUGGAGACACAUCCGAAGAUCCUGCAGAAUCCCUACUCGCGCACCACAUCCGCCAAGAGUUAUAAAAAUUACAUCAAUAUGAAUGACUUUCUUAAGUAAGUGAGUGCCUGCCUGCCGCAUGUGUUGCAAGUUGCAUUUUAACAACAUAACUUGACCAACAACAACAAAAACAACAACAACAAGUACCAAUCAUCCCAACAACAACAACAACAACAAACAAGAUAAUCAUCACCAACAAACUAUUCAAGGAAGUACAGUGAAACCCGGAAGAGGAGCGAUCUACCGAACGGUUAAAAAAGCCAAACUUGUCACACAACACACUUACAUAAAUGAAGCUUCAAGGACUUCCUACGUCAGGAUCUGGAUGAGAAGGACGCCAAUAAAAAGAGGAAUUAUUUGUAAAAAAUAUUAAGAAACUAUCAAACACCAAGUUGCCUUUGUCGUGGACAGCGAAAUUCAAGUGCUUUCUAAACAAAAAAAAAACAAUCCUAAAGAAGGAUAUCCUAAACUAAAUUAUAUAGGCCUUAAGGACUUAAGGCUCAAGGACUUGCUGAUACUGAUAUUCCCGUACUUUUCCCCGUACUAAAAAAAAAAAGAACUAAAUUAUUUGUACUAUACACCCACACUCACACACACACACACAACAAGCCCUUUUAUAUAUACUAUAUUUUUUAAAUCUAUAUGUUCUCUCGAUGUGUCCCCCGAUUCGAGUCCUUUAUCGAUUGAUUGAAAUUAUCUGAAAGUAUUUUGUUUUUUUUUCUAUGUCAAAUUUUUAUGUAAUAUUUGUUGUGCAAAAAAAAAAAGAGAGAAAAAAGUGAAAAGUUUGAGCCGUUUUUUUGUAAAGUGUCGCCGGGGAAAGCGACCUUAGUGAAUUAAGUCUUAAAUUAUUUAUGUUUUAGUGCUUAAGUCAAGGGGCGGGAAAAGCGGGGUCACCAAUUGGCCCCAAAAUCACACACACACACACACACCACACCACACACACAGUUGAAAUAUGUUGAUACUACUAUGAUUUUACUUAUUGAUAUACAACUCAAACAAUAAAAAUA
rnacentral:misc_RNA from 1 species